AGUGAACGCUGGCGGCGUGCCUAAUACAUGCAAGUCGAACGAAGUGGCGCACGGGUGAGUAAUAUAUAGUUAAUCUGCCCUACACAGAGGAACAACAGUUGGAAACGACUGCUAAUACCUCAUAGUGUAGGAUGAGACUCUAUCGUAUCAGCUAGUUGGUCAGGUAAUGGCUUACCACGGCUAUGACGCGUAACUGGUCUGAGAGGAUGAUCAGUCACAUUGGAACUGAGGCACGGGCGAAACGCCGUCGGGAGUGAGCAGUAAGGAAUAUUGAGCAAUGGGGGAAACCCUGACGCAGCAACGCCGCGUGGAGGAUGACACUGUUCGGAGCGUAGACUCCUUUUAACAGGAAAGCGGUACCUGAUGAAGAAGCACCGGCUAACUCAGUGCCAGCAGCCGCGGUAAUUC
rnacentral:rRNA from 1 species